rnacentral:rRNA from 1 species
UACAUGGGGUGCAAACGUUGCUCGGAAUUAUUGGGCGUAAAGCGCACGUAGGCGGUUUGUUAAGUCGGAUGUGAAAUCCCUCGGCUCAACUGAGGAAGUGCAUCCGAAACUGGCAGGCUUGAGUACUAAAGAGGGUCGCGGAAUUCCCGGUGUAGAGGUGAAAUUCGUAGAUAUCGGGAGGAACACCGGUGGCGAAGGCGGCGCCUGGGUAGAUCUGACGCUGAGGUGCGAAAGCGUGGGGAGCAAACAGG